UCAAAGAAGACAUGACAUCCAACAUUCAUUUGCUAAAACCCUCUUUCCCUCCUCCUAAAACCCUACCCACACGUUCAUCUCCAUUCACCGCUUUCAAUUUGCACCUUAAACCUCCCACAAAUUGCCUCUGUAUUAGCUCCAAAAAAGCCAUCCAGGCUACCUCCACUUCCACUUCCACUUCCAAUUCUAAUGAUGAAAAUGAGUCAGCUCAGCAACUUUUUGAGAAACUGAAGGAGGCAGAGCGUGAACGGAUAAAUAAUUUAGAGGAGUUUGAAAGAAAGGCAAAUGUUCAAUUAGAGAGGCAGCUUGUGCUGGCUUCGGAAUGGAGUAGGAAAUUGCUGGCCAUGCAGGGAAAGUUGAAGGGGACAGAGUGGGAUCCUGAAAAUUCUCAUAAGAUAGACUACAGUGAAUUUCAAAAGCUUCUGAAUGCAAACAAUGUGCAGUUUAUGGAGUAUUCAAACUACGGGCAGACGGUUUCAGUAAUUCUGCCAUACUACAAGGAUGGAAAAACAGAAGGUUCAGGAGGGGACUCUAGAAAGGAAAUUGUCUUCAAGCGUCAUAUCGUUGACCGGAUGCCAAUAGAUAGCUGGAAUGAUGUUUGGAGGAAGUUGCAUCAACAGCUUGUAAAUGUUGAUGUGUAUAAUGUGAAUAACAUCCCUGCUGAAGUUUACUCUAGUGUCGCGACAGCAGUUGUGUGGUCUAUGCGGCUGGCCCUUUCAGUUCUCUUAUACAUUUGGAUUGAUAAUAAGAUGAGACCAAUUUAUUCAAAACUAAUACCUUGCGAUUUGGGCAGCCCUCCCAAAAAGAUAAGAGAGCCGCUCAAGCAGAAGGCCCUUGGUUCAUUAGGAAAGAGCCGUGCAAAAUUCAUUUCAGCAGAAGAAAAAACUGGUAUAACUUUUGAUGAUUUUGCUGGCCAAGAAUAUAUUAAGAGAGAACUUCAAGAGAUUGUUCGAAUACUGAGGAAUGAAGAUGAGUUUCAAGACAAAGGGAUUUAUUGCCCAAAAGGUGUGCUUCUCCAUGGUCCUCCCGGAACUGGCAAAACACUUCUGGCAAAAGCUAUAGCUGGAGAAGCAGGAUUACCUUUUUUUGCUGCUAAUGGUACUGAUUUUGUUGAGAUGUUUGUUGGUGUGGCUGCUUCACGUGUGAAGGACCUUUUUGCCAGUGCCAGGUCAUUUGCUCCUUCUAUUAUUUUCAUUGACGAGAUAGAUGCAAUUGGCAGCAAACGUGGUGGACCGGAUAUUGGCGGGGGUGGUGCAGAGAGGGAACAAGGGCUUCUUCAGAUACUGACAGAAAUGGAUGGAUUUAAAGUGUCAACGUCACAGGUCUUAGUUAUUGGUGCAACCAAUAGAUUGGAUAUUCUUGAUCCUGCCCUGUUACGAAAGGGUCGCUUUGACAAGAUUAUUAGGGUUGGUUUGCCCUCAAAAGAUGGUAGAUUGGCCAUAUUGAAGGUGCACGCUCGAAACAAAUUUUUCCGGUCAGAAGAGGAAAAGGACACUUUAUUGCAGGAAAUUGCAGAGCAAACAGAAGAUUUUACUGGAGCUGAACUUCAAAAUAUAUUGAAUGAAGCUGGAAUUUUGACUGCGAGGAAAGACUUGGACUAUAUAGGACGAGAUGAACUUCUUGAGGCAUUGAAGAGGCAAAAGGGCACAUUUGAAACGGGUCAAGAAGAUAGUACUGAGGUCCCUGAGGAGUUAACACUAAGACUAGCUUACAGAGAAGCUGCUGUUGCAGUUCUUGCAUGUUACCUUCCAGAUCCCUACCGACCAUUCAGUGAGACGGAUAUCAAAUCCAUCCGUAGUCAGCCCAAUAUGCAAUUCGUUGAGAUUGGAGGCAGAGUGUUUAAAAGGAAAGCAGAUUAUGUGAACUCAAUAGUCCGUGCAUGUGCUCCCAGAGUAAUUGAGGAAGAAAUGUUUGGAGUUGACAAUCUAUGCUGGAUCUCUGCAAAAGCAACUUUAGAAGCUUCCAGGCUAGCAGAAUUUUUGAUAUUGCAGACAGGGUUAACUGCCUUGGGAAAGGCUUAUUACAGAUACCAGAGAGAUCUCUUACCAAAUCUCCCUGCUAAAAUUGAAGCACUUAGAGAUGAGUACAUGCGAUAUGCAGUGGAGAAAUGUUUAUCUAUUCUAAAGGAGAACCACGAUGCUGUGGAGACAAUUACAGAUGUGUUGCUUGAGAAAGGAGAGAUCAAAGCCGAUGAAAUUUGGAGCAUAUACAAAAGCUCACCUAAAAGUCCUCAGCCUACUGUGAGUCCCAUCGAUGAAUAUGGGGCCCUUAUAUAUGCUGGACGGUGGGGAGUCCAUGGAGUUUCACUUCCAGGGAGGGUGACAUUUGCACCUGGGAAUGUUGGAUUUGCAACUUUUGGUGCACCACGACCUAUGGAGACCCAGAUAAUUAGUGAUGAAACAUGGAAGCUAGUAGAUGGCAUUUGGGAUAAAAGGGUCGAGGAAAUGAAAGCUGCUGUAUCACUAGAAAUUGAAGAAGAUAAGGAGAAGCCAAAACUUCUGAUGGCCAGUCAUUUCCUAUAGCUUCCAAAUAGCGGAUACAGGUUUUGCCACUAGUCUCUGAGCGGCAUAUAUUGUGCAGCUAUGGCUUUAUUUCGUCUGCUCUAAUUCCAUGAGGAUGCAGCAUUAUUUGCUGAUUGCCUGAGUUUGAAGGUUUUCUUCAUAAUUAUGCAAAGUCAAAAGUGCGGCAAGCAAGUUGGAUGGAGGGGGUAUUUAUCAGUGUUCCUCGUUCUGAUUGACAAAAUUGGUUGCAGGCAGGCUGCGGCACUCUUUGAUCCUUGUUUGUUCUAGAUGUGAGCAGCCAAGCAUUCACGUCUGGAAGAAGUGUCUUGACAUCUGUAGCAUAUCCAUCGCUUUUGAGAUUAGAGCUAGUCUCCGGCUAUUCUAUGCAUAUUUUCAUGAGAUGUUUGGAUGAUGAUAAAUUGUUUCGACAAGGCUAGCCUUAGACGUUAGCCACUUAUGGAGUGCUUUGGAGAAAUGCCGCGCUGAAAAUUAACAUCCCCAGUAGCACAACGAAGAGGAGCUCAAGAGUGGUGAAGAAAUUGUUCUAGAUGAUGGGAUGCAAGGUGCCCUUUUAGUCCAAUCAGUCGAUCAACUCACCUGGAUCCCAAACUAGUUAUGAAGGUGCCUUUUAGUUAAAUUUUGUAUAUUGUUCCAGCACCAACUCCAAGCACCUUCCCUGUCCCUUAAGCCCCAUCCGAAAUUUUGUAAUAACUGGAGAUUCAACUUCCUCUGCUUCGAAAUAGUGUUGCGGGGAUUAUAGUGGUGAUACCAUUAUCAUAAUUAAUUCUAGGUCAGUGGCAGUUUGCUAUA